CUCUCUCUCUCUCUCUCUCUCUCUCUCUCUCUCUCUCUCUCACCUCUCCUCCAAACUUCUCUCUUCGAUUUCAUCUCCUUAGAAUGAGAUUUCGGAAAAAUCUCAAGGAGUAAAGUUGUUCUACGUGACGAGAUCUUCCUAUCGAUCCAAGAAGAAUCAUGAUCGGAGCACUUUGAGGUUUCCUCCAUGUCCGGGCUUGCUUCUAACCUUUGAGGCACCCGCCUUGGCACUUAGCUUGGAUUGCAUGGAGUGCACUUUGAGACGUCUUUGAGUAGCUUCAUUGGAAUCAUUAAGGAGUUGUUUAUCAUCAAGUUUAAAUCAUGUCGUGUACUUGUCUUGCGAUUGAAGAUUGUACCUUUUGGUUAUAAAAUAUGGAUAAACUCCUUUCCUUGAUUAUUGUGAAGCCCCUUUCAAUGAAAGACGUUUGGGAGACUAUGUAAAAAAAAAAAAAUUAAGAGAGAAGAAGAAGAAUAGACUUUGAUUCUUUGUUUGGUUUGGCAUGACAUUUAAGGGUAAAUAUAAUUGAGGGAAAGACUUUUGUUUGUAGAAAAUGUAUUAUUAUUUUGUUGAAAAUUGAGGAC